GGGGAUUGUCAAAUUGAAUAUGUUGAUACCUUGCAUCAAUUAGCUGAUAUUUUCACCAAGGCUCUAGCUAAAGAUAGAUUCUUUGAGCUUAGAAGAGAGUUAGGAGUGUUAGACAUGUCUUAGGAUCAAAGUCUAUGCAAAUUUUUGCAUUUUCGUAAAUUUAAAGCUUCAUAAUCGAUUGUCACAAGGUCACAAUCGAUUAUUCAUUCAUAAAAUUCAAUUCUAGAAAAUUUUGAGCAGAUAAUCGAUUAUCAUCAGGCAUAAUCGGUUCUCAUGCAAUUCUGGGCAGAAAUUAUUGAAUUGAUAAUCGAUUAUCAAGAGUCAUAAUCGAUUAUCGCGCUGACAGUUUCAAAAAUAGAGUCGUUGGAGCGUCCCCUAACGGCUAUAAACGGCUAGUUUUUCCAUUUUUCUUAUAAAUAGCCCCCCAUAAUCGAUUAUUAGACACUCCUUUGCACCCAAAUACUACUGAAAUCAAAUCCAAAGCUCAAAAUCUCUUCAUUUUUCUUCACCUUGUUAAAGUUUCAUUUUCCCAAUCUUCC
rnacentral:lncRNA from 1 species